CAAGCAGUCACUUUCCUACCAACGCCACAUACAAGUUAGGAUGAAGAUUGCAGCUUUGACGCUACUCCUAACACUUUCCUUUCUUGUGUUAGCAUCAAAUGCAGAUACAAAACAAAGGUGUACAUUCAAAUACCUGAAGAAGUUUGGUGGGUAUUCAAUUGGUAGUUGUCAGGAAGAUUGCCCCGAGUCCUUAUGUGCACUGAGGACAAGGAAUGCAAUUUGGAGGCUGCUAUUGUUGGCAAAAUGUGCAGGUGUCUAAUGUGCAUACACUACUCCAAGGCUCCAAUAAAGGAAACUGUAAUGUUAACUAGCUAAGAAAAUGUCAGUGCAGGUUUUCUAAAAAUAAUAACAAUGCCAUAUCAUGGGGUGUAUUAGCAUGACUAUUCGCAAUAAAUCUUUAUAGAACAUAAUUCAAUGCUA